UACCUGCAGCCCAAGUGGUGGUCGAUUUUAUUGAGUCUAAAACGUUCGUAGCCGGUUUGAUAAAUCCUUGGGUAAAUCGAGAAGCUUAACUUUUCGAAUUCCGGGGAGACUGUCAAACUUGGGACCGGGAGAGGCUAGAGGUACUUCUGGGGUAGGGGUAAAAUCCUGUAAUCCUAGAAGGACCACCGGUGGCGAAGGCGUCUAGCUAGAACGGAUCCGACGGUGAGGGACGAAGCCCUGGGGCGCAAACGGG
rnacentral:rRNA from 1 species